UAAGGAAUAUUGGUCAAUGGACGCAAGUCUGAACCAGCCAUGCCGCGUGAAGGAUGAAGGUCCUCUGGAUUGUAAACUUCUUUUAUCUGGGACGAAAACGGGAUUUUUAUCUCAAUUGACGGUACCAGAGGAAUAAGCACCGGCUAACUCCGUGCCAGCAGCCGCGGUAAUACGGAGGGUGCGAGCGUUAUCCGGAUUUACUGGGUUUAAAGGGUGCGUAGGUGGGCUUAUAAGUCAGCGGUGAAAUCUCCGAGCUUAACUUGGAAACUGCCGUUGAUACUAUAGGUCUUGAAUUAUCUGGAGGUAAGCGGAAUAUGUCAUGUAGCGGUGAAAUGCUUAGAUAUGACAUAGAACACCAAUUGCGAAGGCAGCUUACUACAUAUAAAUUGACGCUGAGGCACGAAAGCGUGGGGAUCAAACA
rnacentral:rRNA from 1 species